rnacentral:lncRNA from 1 species
CAGUUACGGAUUUUCAAGCUUAUUUCUAUUUGGCUUUGGAAAAUCAAUAUCGAUCUUUAGUAUGAACUUGGGUAGACCUGUUAUUUCAGGAAUUCACAUUAAGUGAACUACUGAGGCCGUGUCGUCAGGUGCCACUCAGAAGAAAUUAAUAAAUUCUCCAUAUUUUACCUCCUGUUUUCUGAUCAACACCAUUCCACAGUUUAUUCGAUAUUUGCACAAGUUGCCAUCACCCUUCAGUCUUAGACAAAGCACAUUUGCCUUUCUAAACUUGCUUGUCUGUCAAGCUCUCAGCUUCCCUGGGGUUAGAAGAGACAAAUAAGUGUUUUCAGUUUCAAAAAGACUUUUCUGGUGGUUGGGAGUAACAACCUGGAAUAUCUUUCCCUCCAGGUUCUGCAGGCUGCAUAUGUAAUCAGGGAAGGUGACAAGUCGAUAAAAGAAUUCAGAGACUGAACAGAGGGCCACUGGGAGCGUCUGGCUUUUCGUUGCUUCCAACAACUGCUUUUGUGACUGAAGGAGGGAAACUGAUAUACAGCUUAUGUUCCUGGUGAUUUGAAAUUGAAGGACCUAACACAGGCAGAAGCUGCGGAUGGGAAAGGAGACAAAGGAUCUUUAAAGAAUGAGUAUCAAAGGACAACAUCCAUGUGAAAUUGAGAAUGAAGAAGAAAGGGGAGAAGUGGGAAGAAGGGAUUCUGUGAUGAAGCCAGAUCAACUCUGCUCAAAGUUGCAGG